UAAACUCUGAGUAGCUCGUCAACCAUUUUAGAGAUUACUGGUUUGUUGGAAACUUAUUGCAACAAACAUGGCAAUGAUCAUAAUUUUUGGGAAAACGAAAGACAAAAAUCCCCCCAAGGUGUCUAACUUGAGGCAAUUGUGGGUGAUAAUGGAAAUAAAUAAAAAUGAAAUGGAGGUGAAAAGGUAGAGGAAACAAAAUGUGAGUGGGGACAAGCCAAAAAAGGAGAACCAGAG